rnacentral:rRNA from 1 species
GACGGAGGAUGCAAGCGUUAUCCGGAAUGAUUGGGCGUAAAGCGUCCGCAGGUGGCAGUUCAAGUCUGCUGUCAAAGACCGGGGCUUAACUUCGGAAAGGCAGUGGAAACUGAACAGCUAGAGUAUGGUAGGGGCAGAGGGAAUUCCUGGUGUAGCGGUGAAAUGCGUAGAGAUCGGGAAGAACAUCGGUGGCGAAAGCGCUCUAC